UUGUAAAUAAUAUUAAAAAAACAUUUCAGCAAUCUCAUCCUGUACCGCACUGCUCUCCACUACAAAGAUCUCCAACUUCUCCACACCAUUUGUCAUCGCCACACACCACCUCUCCUGCACAUCACACAGCAUUAACCUCAACACGUGGUCGAAGAGCAUCAUAUGCCCUCUCAGAUGAAGGUGAAGGCCAUAUGGGCUCCCCAACCAGAAAGGCAUCUUUGGAUGAAUCCGGCAGUGAGGGAAAAAGGUCACCUCUUGGCAGCACUCGAGGCAUUGUCUCAGGAAGAUCUAAAGCCAAGAUGGAAGCUUUAGACAAUUUAGUCAUAUCAACAAUUCAUUCACUCUCUGUCAAAGUUCGCACGACAUCAGAAACACUUUUACAAAAACUCAAAUCUCAGUAUGAUGAGGAAGGAGAUCGUGCAGCCCUGCUGGAGGAGGUGUUGGCACACCUUAGUGAAAGUGAUCAAACCCUUGCCACCGGCCAAAGCAGGUCAACUUCCCGGGAGUUAGCUGGCAUACUUCGCAACCUCAAAAAAAUUGAGCAUGCUUUAGAAGUAAUUGACCGUGUGAUGGUGUAUGUGGAAGAGGGAGACCUAGAAGAUGAUGACCUUGAUGCAACUACCAGACAUGAGUGGGGUGAGAGUGAUUAUUGAUUUGCUUGAAGACCUUGAAGAUGACACCCUUGUUGCAACUGCCAUAUGUGAUUGGGACACAAGUGAUUAUUCCAAUAUGACUUGAUGAAAACCUGGAUAAUAAUGACCUUGAUACAACUGCUGGGUACCUGUUAUAAGUGGGGUGAGAGUGAUUGGUAAAUCACCUGUUGAAGACCUAGAGGAUGAUGCUCUUCAUGUGAUUGCUAGACAUGAGGGUGAUUACCAAGUCAUUUGGACACAAAAAUGAAAUUUGUAUAUAGUAUACAGUAAACUGUCUUAGAAACUUUGAAUUGAGAAAAAUAUAUUUACAGCAAAAGGAAAGAUAUAUUUAUCUUUAAAAUUACAAAAGAUGGGAUUGUAAGAGAAGCUGAGUAUUCAAAUGGCUUUAGGAAAAAAUCCAAAUAUUUUUCCCCAAAGUCUUUUUAUCUGCUUCUCUAAGGCUAUGGGUUCCCACAAUUUGCACCUAGAGUGGACUCCAUCCAAUGUUGUUAUAUUCAUUUGUGGCAGAUGUAAAGUAUUUCUCAAAAAUAUGAAAGAAAAAUUGAACAUGUAGUUGGCAGAUGUUAGCACAACGUAUUUUCAAGUGAAUGAAAAAAUACCUCCAAGUUUCCCUACAUAAUUAAUGGUUUGGCACUUUAAUGACCUCAUUCCAGGGUUGACCAUGGUGAGUAAAUUCACAUGCUGCAAGUUCUUUAGAACUUGUCACUGAAUAUUUUCAUACCGUAUGUCAGGAUAAAUAACAAAAAGGCACAAUACCGUGACUGGAACAAUACACAAAUAACCCGCACAUAAAAGAGAGAAGCUUACGACGACGUUUCGGUCCGACUUGGACCAUUGACAAAGUCACACUGUGACUUUGUCAAUGGUCCAAGUCGGACCGAAACGUCGUCGUAAGCUUCUCUCUUUUAUGUGCAGGUUAUUUGUGUAUGUCAGGAUCAAUUAAAUUAUAAAAAUCUCUUGUUUCUUGACCAAAUAUUACCAAACAAAUAUGCAUUUCACCUACUCUAAAUAUUUCUUGACAAUAAAUACAGUGGAAACUGAGGUGAAGCAGCAGGAGCAGGUGUUGGUGGUGGUGUGUGCCUUGCUGCACCAUCCCCUCACCCUCAUUAAACCACUUGAUUGAUUAUAAUAAUACUUGUUGGAUAGGACCAUUUUAGGUGGUUAAGUUUUUCAUUAUAAUUGUAUUCACCAAAAAUAAUUUUUUUUAAUUGUGUGGUAAAAAUUAAUAUUUCUAGGGUUCAUGUUUCUGCUGGCAUUAAAGUCAUCAACAGUACGGUGUUAAAAUACGAGUGACAACUGCCUCUCCCUCCCACCAAUCCCAGAAUCAUAACAAAUAAGCAUUGCUGUAUCAUGUUAGCAUCAAAAGGAAGUGUUCAGGAAUUUUAUCAUUUCCUCUAAUUUUUGCUGUCUUAUGGUCUCAUUAGUAGCUAUUACUACAUUAUACAUCAUAUCUACAACUGUCUUUGAUAAGUAAUUGUAAGGAAAAUAUAAUUUGUGAGAAAAUUAUUGGCAAUGGCUCACUUUUCAGUUGGGAGAGGAGGGAGUGGGAGAGUGAAAAAGUGUAUGAGAGAGAGAGAGAGAGAGAAGAAAGCUAGUCUUGUAUGUACGGUACAUAGUUAUAAUUUUUCUUUAUUUUCUUUAACGCACCGGCUAUGUCCCACCCAGGCAGAGUGCUUUCAGAAAGUUUUUUUUUAUUUUACAUUUAGUAAUUUAUGCAAGAGGAGGGGUUACUAACCCCUUGCUAGCUGCAUUUAAUCACCUUUUAUGAUAUGCAUGGUUUACAGAGGAAGGAUUCUUCUCUACUUCUCUACUUCUCUACUCCCCCCCCCCUCCCUACAAGUUAACAGGAAUUAGAUAUGGAAUAUUACCCAGGUCUGCAUCACUGGUUAUACUAUGCGCCUCUACAUGAAAGUGUAAUUUGCUUAACAUAUUUCAAACCUUUUAUCUGGUCUCUGGCUAGGUCAUUAACCUUGCCACUGUAUCACACAUAGAUCUGUGUCAUUGAUGCUAAUCUUGUGUUGAUCUGUGUUUUAAAUACAGCACCCUCACAUAGGCUGUGAGUGGUAAAUUUUAGCAUAGACUUGAGAGAAUGGGUCUGCAGUAAGUGCACAGUAUAAAAAAUUCUGCCCCAUGCAAUGUAAGACAAGCAAACUUGUUACCUUGUGUUUGGUUUAAAAUUGUGGCUUUGAGGUGUUUUCUAGGUUUUUUUAUGGUUUUAUUUGCUGUUUCUUGGUAUCACUUGAUAAAAUGGAAGACUUGCUAGCAAAAUAUAGAUAAUUGAGGUAGGUUUCUGACUGGAAGUAACUUGAAAUAAGGAUGAAGGUGGCUGAAAAUAUUUGAUUUUUAGUUAUUUUCCUGAGGAAGGGUAGGGCCUGCCCCUAAUCCUCAUAGUCUAUUUUAUGGGUUUUUACUAGACCUGCUUCAAUUAUUGGGAUAGCCUAAACCCUGACCAGUAGGAUAAAACUUCUGCUUAUUUCUGUGUGAUGAUAGAUUCAAAGUGGAGGACAAGCAUUAUAUGAGAGAGGCCUGGGAAUGUGAUUAAUGAACAGGAAAUGUUGCUUAAGUGGCAGGAACUCCUGCAUUGUUUAUAUUGGACUCUGUUUUUAAAUUGGUAUUGUGUAUAAUUGGAAUUUGUUGAAUUUUGUGUAAAAUUGCCCUAAUAACUGACUUCUCUGCAUAUUAUACGGUGGGUUUUUUUUCUGUUCAAUCAAUAGAAUUGAAGUCUAAUUGAGCAUUGGAAUUGGGUGGAAUUGCUGAUGCAUAAACGGUACCCAGAAUGUUAACUUUCCACCUGUGCAAUUCCAUAGGUUUUUAUCAGAUUCACAUUUGUGGUGUCAUUACCUUCAGAAAAAAGAUUCUCUACAAUUGCAGUAGAUAAAAUUAUUUUUUGUUUGAAAAAUUGCAAAACUGUCAGCACCUAAUUUUGUGGGUCAGCUGUACCAUAUUUUGAGGCAAUAAUGACCUAUAAAAGACUGUGUGACCAUUUAUGCAGUGCAGUAAUUCAGCACUUACAUAAUACAGUGAGGCAUCUGUAUUAGCUACAAAGUUGUUCUCUAACUUUUUUUUUUUUUGGGGGGGGGGGAGUUAUGGCAGUUACUUUCCACUUUCUUUUAGCUUUGCACACAACCCCUAAAUAGUAAACAUGCCAUAGGUUUUUGUAUAAAAUAAGCCCAUUGUAUUACCUAUGCCCAAGUCUCUAUAGAUAUAUUAUCUUUUGAGUGUCAUUACUUUUAAUUCCUGACACUAUGUAAAGAGGGGGUUUUGGAGGUCAGCACCCUCGUGGCCUGGUCCGUGACCAGGCCUCAUGGUGGAUCAGGACCUGAUCAACGAGGCUGCUACUGCUGGCCACACAAAGUGAUAUGUGAGCCACAGCCCAGCUGGUCAGAUACUGAUUUUGGGUGCCUGUCCAGCGCCUUCUUGAAGACACCCAUGCAUCUGUUGGCAAUCCCUCUACUAUAUGAAAAGCCAAUGAAGUAGUGGGCAUGCUGGGGUGAUGUGGUGGGAAAACAGUUAUCAACAUUGAUGAAGCCUGAUUUUUCCAUCCUUCCUUAGUGCAUUAAUGGCUGCACCUGAAAAUAGGGGUCUACUAAACUCAAACAAGAAGCAUUAUUCAGCCUCCACCUGCUGUGUUAAGCAUUCAUCUGAUUCAUUUGUUGCCUUAACCCUGUGAAACCAGAUGCAGGUCCAGGAGGGAAAGACAUGACAGCUAUUUCACACUUCAAAUACUUAAACUUAAUUAAUGGUUCCAUUCUGUUAGCAUUGUUACAAGAGUUAUUAUUGUUGUUUGAAACUCAAUAUUUGUGUUUGCCUUGCAUAGCUUUGUCUGUGAUGAAAUCUCCAUGGGUAAUUUAACUUUCACUAUUGAUUUAUAUGAUUAUUUUUUUUAUUAUUAUCACACCGGCCGAUUCCCACCAAGGCAGGGUGGCCCGAAAAAGAAAAACUUUCACCAUCAUUCACUCCAUCACUGUCUUGCCAGAAGGGUGCUUUACACUACAGUUUUUAAACUGCAACAUUAACACCCCUCCUUCAGAGUGCAGGCACUGUACUUCCCAUCUCCAGGACUCAAGUCCGGCCUGCCGGUUUCCCUGAAUCCCUUCAUAAAUGUUACUUUGCUCACACUCCAACAGCACGUCAAGUAUUAAAAACCAUUUGUCUCCAUUCACUCCUAUCAAACACGCUCACGCAUGCCUGCUGGAAGUCCAAGCCCCUCGCACACAAAACCUCCUUUACCCCCUCCCUCCAACCCUUCCUAGGCCGACCCCUACCCCGCCUUCCUUCCACUACAGACUGAUACACUCUUGAAGUCAUUCUGUUUCGCUCCAUUCUCUCUACAUGUCCGAACCACCUCAACAACCCUUCCUCAGCCCUCUGGACAACAGUUUUGGUAAUCCCGCACCUCCUCCUAACUUCCAAACUACGAAUUCUCUGCAUUAUAUUCACACCACACAUUGCCCUCAGACAUGACAUCUCCACUGCCUCCAGCCUUCUCCUCGCUGCAACAUUCAUCACCCACGCUUCACACCCAUAUAAGAGCGUUGGUAAAACUAUACUCUCAUACAUUCCCCUCUUU